GGGGAAUAUUGGGCAAUGGGCGAAAGCCUGACCCAGCAACGCCGCGUGAAGGAAGAAGGCCCUCGGGUUGUAAACUUCUUUUAUUCGGGACGAAACAAAUGACGGUACCGAAUGAAUAAGCCACGGCUAACUACGUGCCAGCAGCCGCGGUAAUACGUAGGUGGCGAGCGUUAUCCGGAUUUACUGGGUGUAAAGGGCGUGUAGGCGGGACUGCAAGUCAGAUGUGAAAAUUAUGGGCUCAACCCAUAACCUGCAUUUGAAACUGUAGUUCUUGAGUGAUGGAGAGGCAGGCGGAAUUCCGUGUGUAGCGGUGAAAUGCGUAGAUAUGCGGAGGAACACCGAUGGCGAAGGCAGCCCCCUGGGCCUGCACUGACGCUCAUGCACGAAAGCGUGGGGAGCAAACA
rnacentral:rRNA from 1 species